rnacentral:lncRNA from 1 species
AUGGGGGCGAGAGGGGAGAAAAGCGGACGGAGCAACCGCGCCCUCUCUCAUCUGCGCCCACUCAGGGCACGCAGGACAGACGGGCCCGCGUGGCUGGCUCCACACACCAGCCCGGGUCUGGUCUGGGCCACGAGCGCACGACUGGGAACUGGCCCAUCCAGGACACUGGGUCAGAUUCUCCUGGUGGCCCGCCGCACUACAAGGCAGACAACUCCCCAGCUGCCUGGGGGCACGGCACGGGUCCAGAACACGCUCGUGCCAGCGUCAGAGGGCACAUCGAGGACUGGUCCUCAGGCAGCGGCCACGCCUCCUGGACGCUGUCCCGGGAGCUCGGAGACCAGCCAACGCCAAGAGGAAGGCAAGGACGUCUCAGGAGAGGCAGAGGCACAGAGCACCACCCUCGCGGAGCCCAGCGUGCCCGCGCCUAAGUCCGCUGCGCACACUGGGCCACCAGGGGCAGUGGGGCACUCCACGCCGGGUCCCAUGAGGCUUCUGCACUCGCAGCCUCCGUGGCCACGCCAGGCAUGCGGGCUGGGAGUGCUGCACCAGACCCCCGGGGUGGGUCAUGGCGGGAGCAGACGUGGGGGGCGGGGAAGCCUACGCCCCUCCCGCACGGGUCAGCAGACCACCACGCAGAGAAACGGACAACCUGCGGACAGGCCCAGGCAGCGUGCAGCCAACCAGAGCACCCGGGAGGACACACGGCCCCGUCUCGGAGCGCCUGACUCGCACCGCGGCCCCUCUCUCCCCAGGGAGCACAUCCUUCCCGGGCAGAGCCCCGAGGACGUCCCCGCAGCUCCAGAGCACAGGCCAGCGUUUCGGGACAAGGAAUCCCAUGGCGACACCUUCCCGGUCCCGGAGGCAAUAGGAAAGCCCGUUCUCGCUCAAGGAGCCCCGGCAACCCAGCGGGCUCCCAGGGGCAGAGGACACAAGGCACACGGGCCCCUACCGUGGUCGUGGUCAGCUUCGGUGCUGGGAGUCAUGGUUGGGAGCGGCACGUCCGGAACAGGUUCCCGGGUGCCGGGCUCGGCGUCUGCGGAAGAAGAAGAGACAUCACACACUUGGCCUGAGUGA